GGAUGUGAGGGUGAUCUGAUUGUGACAUCUGUCACCCCAUUGAUCACUAGGGUUGGUAUGGCUGAUCUGGCUGGCUAGGUGGGUGUGCCCUGUCUCCCACACUGCUCCGAAGUUGCAUGCUUGGUGGAAUAGGACAACCUUCCCCGAAUAGAGAUGGACCAUGGACUAGUCUUCAGUUGAGGGUAUAUGUGUAGCUGUGUUCCCCCCCAGAACCUCCAAGGACGCUCUCAAGGUCCUUCAGUGUGGUGGGGACCAGACUUGUACCAGCCCUGAAUCAUUC
ensembl:misc_RNA 7SK 7SK RNA